rnacentral:rRNA from 1 species
UGGGGAAUAUUGGUCAAUGGGCGUAAGCCUGAACCAGCAAUGCCGUGUGGGUGAUGAAGCUUUUUGGAGUGUAAAACCCUUUUAUGAGGGAAGAAGGUAAUUCGGUUAAUACCCGGAUUGUUUGACGGUACCUCAUGAAUAAGCCCCGGCUAACUCCGUGCCAGCAGCCGCGGUAAUACGGAGGGGGCGAGCGUUAUUCGGAAUUACUGGGCGUAAAGGGCGUGUAGGCGGCCUAGCAGGUCAGAUGUGAAAUCCCCGGGCUUAACUCGGGAACUGCGUUUGAAACCGUUGGGCUUGAGGCUGGAAGAGGAAAGCGGAAUUCCUGGUGUAGCGGUGAAAUGCGUAGAUAUCAGGAGGAACACCGGUGGCGAAAGCGGCUUUCUGGGCCAGUUCUGACGCUGAGGCGCGAAAGCGUGGGUAGCAAACGG